UCCUGGCUCAGGAUGAACGCUAGCGACAGGCCUAACACAUGCAAGUCGAGGGGCAGCACAUGAUGCAGCAAUGCGGAUGGUGGCGACCGGCGCACGGGUGAGUAACACGUAUGCAACCUGCCUUCAACCGGAGGAUAACCCGUUGAAAGACGGACUAAUACUCCAUAACACAGGGGUCCCGCAUGGGGAUAUUUGUUAAAGAUUAAUCGGUUGAAGAUGGGCAUGCGUUCCAUUAGCUUGUUGGCGGGGUAACGGCCCACCAAGGCAACGAUGGAUAGGGGAACUGAGAGGUUUAUCCCCCACACUGGAACUGAGACACGGUCCAGACUCCUACGGGAGGCAGCAGUGAGGAAUAUUGGUCAAUGGGGGCAACCCUGAACCAGCCAAGUCGCGUGAAGGAUGAAGGUCUUAUGGAUUGUAAACUUCUUUUAUACAGGAAUAAAUUGGGGGACGUGUCCCCUUUUGCAUGUACUGUAUGAAUAAGG
rnacentral:rRNA from 1 species